GACCAUCAGGAUCCACUGGGAAGAAGCCUACCGGCCCAAUAGGCCAAGACGUAAAAAAAAAAAAAAAAAAAAAAAAAAAAAAAAAAAAAAAGUACCGUAUUGCUUUUAAGAUAACCUCCUGCUUCUAUAAGUAUUUUGUUAAUGUGCUUUUCAGGCAACAAAAUAUCUUUGACAAUGUUCCUAAUUCCUUCUCUUGGUUAUGUAUUUUUUUCAUUUCCAGUCAAAUAACUCGGAAUGGACUCUCUGAAAGUUACCCAUUUUCAAAAACUUUAAUUUUCUUGCACUUCAACUUAAUUUCUCACAUCUAGCUCCAUUCAAAAAAUUUCAGCUUUUAUUUUCCUCAUGAUCUUGGCACUGUCACACCUGGUUAGUUGACAACUGACCGCAUCCACUGCCAUGAGUAUUGACGGGAUGCUUGCAGCCUAUGUCCAUCUUAAGAAGGCUUUUGAUUCAGUGCAUCAUGAGACACUCUGGGAUUUCUCAUACCUUGGCAGUGUGGUGCAAAGCAACAACAGGACUCAUCAAGAAGUCUUUCAACAGAUUGGCCUGACCCGUGGUUUCACUGACUCGCUCAGUACAAGUAGUAUAUGUUGUAGAUACUUGUACAGAAGGAAAAAGUUUUGGAUCUUCAGGUUGCUUGUGUUCUGUCUUGCUCUAUGGCUGAGACAUGGAUGCUAAACAGUGAGUUAAAGAGGCAUAGUGUUUAUAUCUUUGGUAGUGUCUAUGCAAAAUCAUGAUAUUGCUGGAAUGGUAGCUGGUAAUGGUGAUGCUGGUAAGACACAGCUGGUCAAGGCAACAAAGAGACUUCAUAGCAGGCUAAGGCAAUGGCAGUUCCAGGUAAGCAAGGUAAAAAAGUGAAUAUCAGUUUAACUGUAGAGAUGUCUCAAGUAUCUCCACUUGAAAAUGCUGAAGGAAAGAGGAAAUACAGUAAAAGGAAGAUUAUUUCAGAGUUUACCCAAGUUAUGAAAAAGAUACAAUACUAAAUUAUGAAAAUGUUAGAGGAAAUAUUAACUGUAAAACAGGAUAUUGUUCUGGUAAAUAUUUUAUGAAGAUAUAGAAAAGUAGCAACAAUACAAAGCCUUCACACAUGUUCAGAUAGUAGUAGGAAUAAAAAUGAGCUACUACACAAAACUCAAAUGCUUACUUUUCAAUGAGAACUUUACAGAAGAAAGUAUACAAAUCCAUGAAGAAUACUAAAUUAAGAACACAAAACUUUUCAUUUGACAAAAAAAAAAAAAAAAAAAUAAAUAAAUAAAUAAAAUAAAAAAAUAAAUAAAUAAAUAAAUUAAAUUAACAGUAAACUAUGCACUCCCAAAAAUAUAUAUUUAUCAAAUGAAAUAGUAAUUACUAUGAGAAAAAGUAUGUUCACACCAGUAUCAAAACAAAAAUAAUAAAAUCCUUCUUUUGCUACAGCUAAAUGCUCCUCUCUCAUUAUGAUAUGCAUGUCUGACAGUUUCGUACCCAUUAUAAUUAUAAGUGAUUACCAUUAUUUUAAUUACUAAGUAAAGGGAAUCCUCCUCCAUGGCAGGAAUUGCACAACUUCCCAUAUUUAUUCCAAUAAGUUAAGUUAUUUAAAAAGUACAUCUAAAAAGGUUAUGGCAUUGCUUACAUUCAUGCUUUGCAUCUGGGGCUGACAAUGAAAAUGUAAAAAAAAAAGUCUACAUGGAAAACAAAUGAAAGAAUGAAUAAAAGAUGUCAGCAAAAUGUAAAUGCUUGGUAUUACUACAUCAGCAAUACCAGUGGUGUGAAAUACUUCUCCAAUGUCGCUGCAUCUAAUUAUAGUAAUGUUAGUUCCACAGAUGGCAUCGUGCCUCAAUGCUGCUCGUGCCCACUGCCUUCGACCCAGUGCCACCUCUUGAACACAAAUUGCUGGUACUUCAGACAAUACCAUUUCUAUUUACUGGUGGCAACUUGUGUUCAGGAAGAGCACAGGGUAGGAAGCAGGGAGUGUGAGCAGCAUAGAGGCAAGUUGGCAUCUGGGGAGUGCACAGAGAAACUCUCCCUACCUAUGGCUCUGGUGUGUGUGUGUCUUUACUCAUUACUACCGUUAUAUCUGUAUGAUCAUGAUUAUUGUUACUAACCUUGAGAAUACUCUUAUCCAUGCUCCACUACAUGUUGGAUGAAGGUGGUAAUGAGAACAUAGCUUCUACAAUUAUAGGAGGUUGAAGUUUUAGCUGGGCCUCUUUUAUGAAUUGCCUCAGUGAUGACCAACAACAAUGCCAUAUGUGCAUGAAAAAAAAAAAAAAAAAAAAAAAAAAAACAUGGGUAAAUGUGUAUGGGUAAAGUUGGGAGCAAACACUAUUGGGUGCAUGUAGCCAUGGUGAUUUCUUCCAUUGCAUUGGCUCUUGAGCCUGUGGUGGGUAAGAACCCUUUACCCUGGGACACAAGGCCAGUGCAACAUUUGGGUUACAAAAGUUUACCUUCCCCAGGUUUCCCAAAGUACUCAUUUAUCGAACAUCCCGAUAGGAAGGAUGAACAACUGGGUGGGCUGCACGCCAACUGCCUUGGCCGGGCUUUGAGACCACCCUACAGAUUCAUAGUUAGGCACGCUAACCACUGCACCAUGGAGACAAAAUUGUGUAUGGUUUUAAAUAAAUACUUUACACUUAAAUAUAUCUAAAUGACACAGUAAAGGUAGUUAACAGUGUUCAAAAUAUGAAUGCAGUGUAAAAAGAACAUGAUUAUGAAUAUUUCCUUAGGCCAUCAUGGAUAGACUAACUGUUGGGUCUUUCAAAUCAUACAGUUAAGGAAGCUCAAUUUGUACCAAGUAAGGCAGCAAGACUCCUGUUUGGAAUAACAUCAAGAACUCCAAUUACUCCAUAACACAUUGAGCUGUACUUGAUGCCAAUAAGAGCUAGAAUAGAAUUUAAGUUGCAUCAUGACCAUUAAAGUUUUCAAGUUUGGCAAGAUUCAGCACCUUGCUGAACUGAUAUAUCAUCAUCCCCCAGCUUCCCUGGUGAAACUGGAGAAAUAAGAAAAGUGAUUAUUGUUAUUUAUUUUUAUUACUAGCUCAUGUGUGUGUGUGCGGCCGUGGCUCUAUGCUUGUGUGGCAAAGGACAGGAUCAUGUUGAGAUGUAGGCUACACUUUAUAUGACUAUGGAGCAAAAUCCCAAGUACUUUGCUUUUCAUUCUUGAAAGAAAAUAUGAAAUAAAAUUAACUGAAAUUUAAAAUGCAUGUGGGUAUUAAGAUCAUUAUAUAUCCAUACAUGAAUUAAAAAGUGACUCUGGCAAAACCUAUAACUGACCCCAACUGAAUUAUAUGACCUUUUUGCUAUAAUGGUCUGCUGACAUGUAACUGGUGACUUGAAAUGUUUGGCAUGUGUAUAUAAUGCCCAGAAUAUGUCAUAUCAGGAAAAAUAAUAUGAAUCACAAAAUUUUCCAAGUAUGUUAUGAAUGUUUUUUCUGUGUAAGGAAUGUAUAGAGGAUACUCCAGAAAAUAUCAAACUUCUGGGGUAUCUAGUUUAUUCUAUUUCUAAAAUAUAGAGGGAAAAAAGAUUCUUUGCCAAAUUUUGAUGAAGAUACAGGUAACUCUCAAUUUAAGCGAGUAUUGUGUCCUUGAAGAGGUCGCGUAAAUCAAAAACAAUGUAAAUCAAACAAGAGGUAGGUUUCUAUCGAAAAAUAAAUAUUCACUUCAUUCAGUGGAGAGAGAGAGAGAGAGAGAGAGAGAGAGAGAGAGAGAGAGAGAAUAUCCAUAUCACCGAGAUAUCCACUCAGGCACUCAGUCUCAGCCUCACUCGUGUGAGGAAGAUAUGAGGGACACCAUGAGCGACUGGCUAGUAUUGGUACCGGUACUGAGCAGUCUGGUAUCAGUACCGUACUGUAUAGCUGGUACCGUUACCUGCCCACCCCUAUUGUUGAGUAGCGUGGCAGCGUGGGCACUGUAUUGUUGUUCAAGUGGUGUGCGGGAAGAACUGAGCUCAGCUGUGUGGCCGUGGCACCGUGUGAGUCCAGUUGCGUGAGACAUCUGGUGGCCACUCCAUAAAAUAUCGCGUAUAAAUGAAAAAGCGUGUAAAUUAAACAUUUACUUGGAUUUUGGACACGGCGUUAUUUAAAAAACUCGUAAUCCAAACUCGUGUAAAUCGAGAGUUACCUGUACCUUGGUUACCACUCAUAGAGGACUAUUAUAGUCUGCUAUCAAUAUCCAUAUACAGUACUGUCUCCAGGAUUGCGAGUUUCAAGUUUGUGAUUCACCGAGUUUGCGAUAAGGACCCCAAAAAUUUGAUUUUUAUUGAAAACUGAAAUUGCGAUAUGACCCGAAAGGAAAAGGAAAAGGCUGCUAAAACCGUUUUUUUUCACACCUUGUUGUGGUCCUUGAUUCCCAUUCUUGCUCUUACCCACCCCCUGGGCCUUUCCAUUGGCCGCGGGAAGCAUGGUGAGUGGGAUCCAGGCAACCAGGCGCAUGUGUGCGAGCUUCCCCGACCACGCGCUGGGCCUGAGCAGCUGACGGGCGGCUGAUGAUGGUGAUGGAGAUGAUGAGUGGCGGUGGCGCUGUCCCCACAUUGGCGCCACCCAAACGGCACCUUCAUCGGGGCCCGUGCAUGUGUGGCUGUGCUCAUCGUGGGCCCAGGCUCCUCAAUCUGCCAAUUCCCACCUUCCACAUGUUGCGCGGGACCUCUUUCUUUUCUUCCAUCUCUUCCUUUUCAAAAUGAAGAGAUGGAAGAAAAGAAAGGGGUCCUGCACAACAUGUGGAAAACAAGAACUGGCAAAUUGAGAAGCCCAAACCCACAACAAACACUGACCGGUAUCACUCACUAGUGUGGUUGCGAAGAUAUGUGAGAGGCUAGUUCAAAACAAGUGGUCGGAUUGUUUAGAAAGGAAGGGAAUUAUCUCGGAUGGCCAGUUUGGAUUCAGGAGAGGGAGAUCGUGUGUCACCAACUUGUUAUCAAGGGUGACAGAUUUAAUACAGGAGCGAGAAGGCUAGGGGAUGGAGUGUACCUGGAUUUGAAAAAGGCAUUCGACAAAGUACCGCACAGAAGACUAAUUUUGAAAAUUAAAAAUAGGGGUGAAGUGGGUGAUGGACUGAUUAAGUGGCUGGGGGACUUCCUAACUAACAGGGAAAUGAGGACAAUAAUCAAGGACAAGGUUUCUAACUGGUGCCCAGUGAGGAGUGGGGUCCCACAAGGUUCAGUGCUGGCACCAAUAAUGUUUGCUGUUUAUAUAAAUGAUAUGGUGGACGGAGUGACCAGCUAUGUGAGUUUGUUUACAGAUGAUGCAAAGCUAAUGAGACGAGUCAAUGAUGUGAAAGACUGUGAGGCAUUGCAGAGGGACCUGGACAAAAUAUGGGAGUGGAGUGGUACAUGGCAGAUGGAAUUCAACCUUGGGAAAUGUAAAAAAAUAUAGUUUGGUAGGAGUGGUAGAAGAUAGGAAUAUGAUUAUAAGAUGGGAAGUGAGAUAAUAUGCAGAGGAAUGGAAGAAAAAGAUUUGGGAGUGACUCUCAGAGAACAUGUCACUGGACAAACACAUCAACAGGAUAACGGGAUACACUAUGAAUUUGUUGAAGAACAUAAGGAUGGCAUUUGUGUAUUUGGACGAAGAGAUGAUGAAGAAAAUAAUAGUUACAAUGAUAAGGCCAAGGUUGGAGUAUGCAGCAGCGGUCUGGUCUCCUCAUGAAAAGAAGAACAUAAGAAAGCUGGAAAGAGUACAGAGAGUGGCAACUAAGAUGGUGCUGGAACUUAGGGAUCGGACUUAUGAGGAGAGACUCAAUAGUAUGGGGCUCACAACCCUGGAGAAAAGAAGAGACAUCGGAGACCUGAUAGUGGUGUACAGGAUGGCGAGUGGGGUGGAGAAUCUGGACAGAGAGGACCUGUGUGUGUGGAGCAAGAGAGAAACGAGUGGACAUGGAAAGAAGUUGAGGGUGACCAUGUGUAGGCGAGAUGUGAAAAAGUUUAGCUUCCCAAACAGAAGUAUUGAGCUGUGGAAUGGACUGGAGGAGGUGGUGGUUUGUGCAAGAAACAUUCAUGAUUUUAAGGAAAAGUUGGGUAAGAGAGGAUAUGGAGAUGGGGCAGCGCAAGCGUAGCUCUUUUCCCAUAUGUCACAACUAGGUAAAAUACAAGGGCCCCGACAAAAACACCGUUUAGGCGGCGCCGAUGCAAAGGCCACGCCGCCGACACUCAUCACCACCAUCAACAUCAUCAGCCGCCUGCCAGCUGCUCGGGCCCAGUGCGCGGCCGGGGCAGUCCGCACACAUCUGGGUGGCCAAGUGCAAGAUGUUGACGGUUUUCAAUUUUCCCCAUAAGAAUAAGGGUUCAAAGUUUGCAACCCACAAUGUCGACUUAUUUAUUGCAAGCUUGGAGACAGUACUACUCAACCUGUGCCCGGUGGAUGUGCUCAGCAGGGAACUGAGAUGGACUGAUGGGCAUCAUGGGUUUGGCAGCCUUGAGCUUGUGGGCCAGAGUGAGGAAUAUGGCCUCCACGUGGUCACAGUCGCUGUCAUCCUUGGCAGAAGUUUCAAAGUGCUGAAAAUACAUAGCUCUGCAGCUGUGGAGAGGCUAUUCAGCACGGCCGGGGACGUCUUCAGGGCCAAGAGGUCCACCCUGGAUGAGGUCAACUUUGAGGUGCUUGUGUUCCUUAAAGGGAACAUUGACCUCCUGGAGGAGAAGAUGGGCCAGGAGGACAUGGAGGAGGAGGAGGAUGACCUGUAGAUAUUAGUUUAGGCUGUGUUUUAACUAAAAAAAAUAAAAAGAAUAAAAAUAAA